rnacentral:rRNA from 1 species
UACGUAGGGUGCAAGCGUUAAUCGGAAUUACUGGGCGUAAAGCGUGCGCAGGCGGUUGUGUAAGACAGAUGUGAAAUCCCCCGGGCUCAACCUGGGGAACUGCAUUUGUGACUGCACAGCUGGAGUGCGGCAGAGGGGGAUGGAAUUCCGCGUGUAGCAGUGAAAUGCGUAGAUAUGCGGAGGAACCCUAGAGGCGAAGGCGGCGCCCUGGCUCGCAACUGACGCUCAGACACGACAGCAUGGGGAGCGAACGGG